AGAAAUUAAGAAACUGUUUUUUAACUUUUAACUAAAAAAACUAAGAACCGGUUCUUAAAUAAGGACUAUAAGAACCGGUUCUUAGUUUUUUUAGUUAAAAGUUAAGAAACAGUUUCUUAACUUCC
rfam:Brassica oleracea var. oleracea cultivar TO1000 chromosome C4, whole genome shotgun sequence